GAUGAACGCUGGCGGCGUGCCUAAUACAUGCAAGUCGAGCGAACGGACGAGAAGCUUGCUUCUCUGAUGUUAGCGGCGGACGGGUGAGUAACACGUGGAUAACCUACCUAUAAGACUGGGAUAACUUCGGGAAACCGGAGCUAAUACCGGAUGAUAUUUUGAACCGCAUGGUUCAAAAGUGAAAGACGGUCUUGCUGUCACUUAUAGAUGGAUCCGCGCUGCAUUAGCUAGUUGGUAAGGUAACGGCUUACCAAGGCAACGAUGCAUAGCCGACCUGGGAGGGAGACCGGCCACACUGGAACUGAGACACGGUCCAGACUCCUACGGGAGGCAGCAGUAGGGAAUCUUCCGCAAUGGGCGAAAGCCUGACGGAGCAGCGCCGCGUGAGUGAUGAAGGUCUUCGGAUCGUAAAACUCUGUUAUUAGGGAAGAACAUAUGUGUAAGUAACUGUGCACAUCUUGACGGUACCUAAUCAGAAAGCCACGGCUAACUACGUG
rnacentral:rRNA from 1 species